rnacentral:lncRNA from 1 species
AUAUGAAAAUAAAAACGAAAUAAAUCAAUCAAUUCCAGAAUUUGUGUUCACAUACGUCAAAAAUCCAAAACAACAAUUAAACGUAGUAUUACAAGGUUCAUCGAUCUCCUAGUAGUAAUAAAUCUAGCCUAACAUGCUAAAAAGAACAAAACUUAAAAAUAUUUGAAGAAACGAUAUCACCCGAAUCAAUCUUCAAUCCGAUCUUCAAUUGGCGCGAUGUUGUUCUCUUG